GCCGACGAAGCUCAACAGGUAGAGCAGCCGCCUUGUAAGCGACAGGUAGCCGGUUCAAGUCCGGCCGUCGGCUCCA
rnacentral:tRNA from 1 species